rnacentral:SRP_RNA from 2 species
GCCGGGCGUGGUGAUGUGCGCCUGUAAUCCCAGCUACUCAGGAGGCUGAGGCAGGAGAAUCACUUGAACCCAGGAGGUGAAGGCUGCCAUGAGCCGAGAUCAUGCCACUGCACUCCAGCCUGGGCGACAGAGUGAGACUCUGUCUCAA